rnacentral:lncRNA from 1 species
GCCUUGGUAUCAUUAGUUACCUUGAAGUUUGCCUUAUUAUCCAUCAUUUCAAAUAAGCUAAACUGUGUUUAUAUACUUCCUUGGACAGAGGCACAAUGUAAUAUCUGCACCUGACAUUUGAGGCUUGAUUUUUUUUUAAAUUCAAUUACAUUGUAACUUGAAAGAAUGGCAAUUAGCAAUGUAAAAUGUAAAAGUAAUUAAUAACCAUAAGCAUAUGUCAGAGCCAUGAAAGGCCAGUCCCCACCUCUAGUCACUCUCACCACCUGCCAGACCCUCAAUCUUGGUUAUUAUAUUCCUCUAGAUUCCAAAACUGCAAACACGGCACUUACAGUAUGAUUUAUUACACCAAAUCCAAACUCUGCUGAGCCUUUCCGGUUUAUUAUUAAUAAGGUACCUGUGAGGUCACCAAAUCUCAACAAGAUACAAGGUUCCAGGGGCUAGCAAUGAAAAACAAAUCUUGGCUGAUGGAAAAAAGGGAAUUCUCUUUCAACCUUGAGCCCAGUACAUUUGGAAAAAUUAAACAAAAAUGUACAUUGACAGUUUUGUAUGUGGAGUAUCACGUUUUCUAAGGUUUUUUAAAAUCCAAAUGAAAACUUAUGUUGUCAUGCAUGAAAACCCUCAGAUAAUCAGCUACCUAUUUUCUUCCAGUAGAGUUUCAUGGUUUAUUGUCGUUAUUAUGGGGAACAAAUAUGGUUGAAAAUUAAUGGAAUCCUUCUCCCUGGUACUGGGAGAUGUUGGACAAGAUUGGAGACUGGAUAUUUACCAGGAGAUAUCCAUUGCUACAGGAGCAUGACUUCAGGAUCCAUGAUUUGAUAUCAAGAACUAUGUUCCAGAGUCCAGCAGAGUGGAAAUCAAAUUCCAGUUAUUCUGCUUACCAGAUGAAUGACCUUGGGAAGUUCAUUGCAACACUCUCAGCUUCAUUUUUUCCCAUCUGUAACACAGAUACAAUAUCAUUCAUCUUACCAUUUUAUUAUGAAGACUGAAUAAGAAGAAUCGGUACAGUACUUACCCCAGUGCU